UGGGGAAUUUUGGACAAUGGGCGAAAGCCUGAUCCAGCAAUGCCGCGUGUGUGAAGAAGGCCUUCGGGUUGUAAAGCACUUUUGUCCGGAAAGAAAUCCUUGGCUCUAAUACAGUCGGGGGAUGACGGUACCGGAAGAAUAAGCACCGGCUAACUACGUGCCAGCAGCCGCGGUAAUACGUAGGGUGCAAGCGUUAAUCGGAAUUACUGGGCGUAAAGCGUGCGCAGGCGGUUUGCUAAGACCGAUGUGAAAUCCCCGGGCUCAACCUGGGAACUGCAUUGGUGACUGGCAGGCUAGAGUAUGGCAGAGGGGGGUAGAAUUCCACGUGUAGCAGUGAAAUGCGUAGAGAUGUGGAGGAAUACCGAUGGCGAAGGCAGCCCCCUGGGCCAAUACUGACGCUCGUGCACGAAAGCGUGGGGAGCAAACAGGAUUAGAUACCCUGGUAGUCCACGCCCUAAAACGAUGUCAACUAGUUGUUGGGGAUUCAUUUCCUUAGUAACGUAGCUAACGCGUGAAGUUGACCGCCUGGGGAGUACGGUCGCAAGAUUAAAACUUAAAUGAAUUGACGGGGUCAUAGCUGUUUCCU
rnacentral:rRNA from 1 species